AUUGAACGCUAGCGGCAGGCCUAACACAUGCAAGUCGAACGAGUGGCGGACGGGUGAGUAAUGUAUGGGAACCUGCCCGGUGGAGGGGGAUAACUACUGGAAAAGGUGGCUAAUACCGCAUACUAUCGGAUCUGCCCAGAUGGGAUUAGCUAGUAGGUGGGGUAACGGCUCACCAAGGCGACGAUCCCUAGCUGGUUUGAGAGGAUGACCAGCCACACGGGAACUGAGACACGGGCCAGACUCCUACGGGAGGCAGCAGUGGGGAAUUUUGGACAAUGGGCGAAACCCUGAUGCAGCCAUGCCGCGUGUAUGAAGAAGGCCUUCGGGUUGUAAAGUACUUUCGGCGGGGAGGCGUUACCUGCAGAAGAAGCACCGGCUAACUCCGUGCCAGCAGCCGCGGUAAUUC
rnacentral:rRNA from 1 species